UGUGGGAGUUGACAAGGAACAUCACUAGAGAAAUAUGAACAUGAAUGUGUCCCCUUAAUCAUAAUAGAGCAAAAAUCACAGACAUAUAAUCUCAUAAAUUUUAUUUAUUUUAAAAUAUUAAUUUCAAAAACAAAAAAAUCACAUACUUUAUAAUUUAUACAACGAAAAUUAUUCAAUCCAAGACACCAAACGUAGCAUCAGAAAGUGGUCUUAUUUAUGCUUUCUUAUUUUGGAUUUAGGGAUUUGGUGUGAAAAGAGGGUAGGAAUGGUAGUACUUUUGACUAGAAGUCUAGAACACUAGAGAAGUAUGGGGCAUCCCCACACUCAUCUUUAAGCUGGACCCUACAAUUUCCAGACCACUUGGAGAUAGAUUAGGACCUCUGCCAGCAAGAGCUUCUCUCCAAGCGUGCUAGGUCCAGUCGCUCCUGCUGCAAACUGGCUUCACAGUGUCUUCAAACUCUUUCUUAAAGUAGUAGGCUGAGGAAAUAAAAAGAAUUAUAACUUAAUCAUGAUUAAGUAAUUAUGAUCACUUGAUUAUGUGGAGUCCAACCGAUUAAUAUUUGACAUUAAUUGGCUAACAGAA
rnacentral:lncRNA from 1 species